UUUUUUUUUUUUUUUUUUUUUUUUUUUUUUGAUCAGUCUUUUUGCACUGGACAGACAGGGCUGACCUAAAAAGGUUUUGGUGUGGUUCAUUAUGCACGUUCGUACUUUCAUGGAAAGACUCAGAUCUUGACUUGUAGGAGUCUACUGAGCAGAUGGCUAAACGAAUGCUUUUUAAGAUCUCUUAAUCUAGUAUGUAAUAUUUUGGCAUUGAUACAGUUUGUUUCAUUUCCAGGACAUUGGUAUGGCAGUAGAUCUCUGGCAAGUGUUGAGCAUAAGUUCUUAGAUGCUUCCUCUGCUGAAUGUGUUUUUUUCACUUAUGUAUUCAUUAUGUCUAUAAAGUAACUAGUCAACUUAUGUAUAUAUGUUUGGUUUUAUUUACCUUCUGUCAGUAUGUUACACAGUUCUUUACUAGGCAAUAAUAAAAUAUUUUUACCAAGGUUCUCAACUGUGCCUCAAGGAAAAGGGAGCCUUGUCUAAUGCAGUAUCUCUGAACAUUGAUUUGAGCUGCUCCCAGACAGAAGUUCUAGCACCUAGUGUAUAUUAAUCACUAGGCUUCGGCAGUAGACCCAAAACAGACUUAGACAACGAGCCAAAAGUGGAGACUGGACAACGACCCACACCUACAUGCAGGGAAAGUCUCAAAGAACCAGAGAAAGCCCUCAACACUCCUGGAGUCAGUCAUCAUGACUGCAGAGGAGCUGGAGAGAAGUAACCACCUCAGAACAAUGAGCCACAGUUGAGUCUUUGGAUGUAUCCUCAGAGGGUGAAGACUCUGAUCCUGUCUUAACUGACAGGCUCACUUGCCCCUCCUCGGGUAUGUUGACUCACCUGGAAGCAGUGGUGGCGGCGUGACCCCCGAAUCCCCACCCACCUAGGCUAUCCUUUCAAUAAAGGCCUUAUCAAGAAAGGAGCACAAGGUCUCCUGGACAGUUUAUUUACUACACUCUGACAAGUUGGUAAAGGGAGCCCUUUCCCAUCUCUCGCUGGCUGUGCCCGCCAUUCACCAUGCCCAGCUCGCGCCACAGCGCCCCCUGCAGCCGCGGGGGAAUCACCGUCCCUGCCCUGCCCAUCGGGAGCCAGCAGCGCCCCUGCUGGAUGUGACCGGAACUGCAGCGAAGGGGAAAGGCUGUGGCCGAGGGAAGGAGGAGGACAUGGAGAAACUGCAAUAAGUUCAGUGAAGGGCCAUCAGGAUGACUGGAACAUUUGUCCUUUGAGGAGAGAUUGAGGAAUUUUCAGCUAGAUCACCUCCCUGAAUUAAGUCAGUAUAUGACUUCUGAGCAAUAGUGCCAGUGCAAAGCAGGGACAGGAACACAUUAUCAAAGAAGGAGUGGAAGCUCAUCUGACUUGGACCAGUGUAAGCUGUUGUGGAACUGGUCCAUGCCAUCUUUCACCUUGUGCUGUAGACCAGGACUGUGGUGUUCUGAAUGUGAAACAAAACACCUGGAACAAAACCACCUGCAACCUGAAGAACAGGCCUUUUGCCUUCCUGGGACACGGGUUAAAGACAUGAUGAGAAAACUUCAUACUCUGCACUUAUGAUGGCAAAUUGAAUAUGAGUCAGCAGUGUCCUGGCAGCCAAAAGGGUGAACCGUGUCCUGGGGUGCAUCAAGAACAGCACUGCCAUCCAGUCAGGGGAGGUGAUUGUCCUUCUCUACACUUCACUGCUGUAGCCUCCACACUUUUGUAUGCAGUUUUGUGUAUCACAGUAUAAGAAGGACAUCAAAGUAUUAGAGAGUCUCCUAGCGAGGGGAGCCAUGAUGCUGAAAGUUUUUGAGGGCAAGACUUAGGAGAAGCAGCUGAGAUCACUUGAUUUGUUCAGCCUGGUGAAGAGAAAGCUGAGGUGACCUCUUGGCAAUCUAAGCCUUUCUCAAGGCAGGCAGCAGAGAGGGAAAUGCUUCUUUCUCUCUGGUGACCAGUGAUAUGUCACAAGUAAACAGAAUGAAGCUGUGUCAAGGGGAGUUCAGACUGGAAUUAGGAAAAGAGUCUUGACUGAGUGGGUGGUUGUUACUGGAGCCAAUACGUGAAGGAAGUGGUCACAGCACUAAGCCUAACAGAGUUCAAGGAGUGCCUGCUGGAUGUUCUUAGUUAUAUGAUUAAUUUUAUAUAGUCCUAUGGGGGACAGGGAGUUGAAGACAGUGAUGUUUAUGGGUCCUUUCCAACUUGGUGUAUUCUAGAAUUCUGUGAAUAUUUUACUACUAGGAAUGCUGUUUUCCAGAAUGCUACAAAGCACUUAGUUUUUGGUGUAGCAUUUAUAAAAGGUACUGAUAGAGUCAACUAAAAUUCUCAUUAUUGAAUGCCUUUUUGUGUUGUACAUUCUAAUAAAAUGAUUGAUCCUAAAA
rnacentral:lncRNA from 1 species